UAAGCGUGCGCAGGCGGUUUUGUAAGACUGUCGUGAAAUCCCCGGGCUCAACCUGGGAAUGGCGAUGGUGACUGCAAGGCUAGAGUUUGGCAGAGGGGGGUAGAAUUCCACGUGUAGCAGUGAAAUGCGUAGAUAUGUGGAGGAACACCGAUGGCGAAGGCAGCCCCCUGGGUCAAAACUGACGCUCAUGCACGAAAGCGUGGGGAGCAAACAGGAUUAGAUACCCCUGU
rnacentral:rRNA from 1 species